GGGGUCGUCUAACAUUUGGGAUAAUUGGGUGUUGAAGUUGAACAUUUAUUGUUGUUGAAAGGGUCAAUCUCGUUUUGACAUUUAAAUUAGUCGUUUUAGCAUUUAAACCAGCUUUUUGUUAUUAAGAGAAGCAUUUAAUGCCUCGUGGGGAAUGCAUUCCUGGGAAUUAAUUGUACCCAGUUUGACCUGAAAAUUCCCAACGUGGGAAUUGCUUGGU
rnacentral:lncRNA from 1 species